ensembl:lncRNA
GCGUACUUCAUGGUAAUGUCACUGGAGGUGCUUCAGCAAUCUGAAGCCUCCGUGAGUCAUGUGUCCCCCCAGCGGGUUUCCUUGCAGUGUGUCAGCCAGCGAUGCCAACAGUGUGUCGAGAGCCAGAGGAAGACUCACUGGUGAUCCUGGGUUACAUCACAGGGCCGGAGGAUGUUUGGAGGGCUGGUUGUCAGCUGCACAGAGAUCCUAAUCUCUUGGCGUGGGGUAUCGUGCUGUGCAUCAGGCCCAGUCCUGUCACUGGAUGCCAGCUGGCAGAAAGAAGCAACAUGCAGAAAUCUCUUGUUGAAAAGGAGCG